AUACUCUGGUUUCUCUUCAGAUCGUAUAAAUCUUUCGCCUUUUACUAAAGAUUUCCAUGGAGAGGUCCCUUCCAAUAUUAUUAUUAUUAUUACUAUUACUAUUAUUAUAUUGAUUAA